rnacentral:rRNA from 1 species
CAGGACGAACGCUGGCGGCGUGCCUAAUACAUGCAAGUCGAACGGCUUUCUAUGGAAGCUUGCUUCCACUGAGAAGAUAGUGGCGAACGGGUGAGUAACACGUGGGUAACCUGCCCAUAAGAGGGGGAUAACAUCCGGAAACGGGUGCUAAUACCGCAUAGUUUUCUUGAUCGCAUGAUCGGGAAAGGAAAGACGGCCUUUGUGCUGUCGCUUAUGGAUGGACCCGCGGCGUAUUAGUUAGUUGGUGAGGUAACGGCUCACCAAGACGAUGAUACGUAGCCGACCUGAGAGGGUGAUCGGCCACAUUGGGACUGAGACACGGCCCAGACUCCUACGGGAGGCAGCAGUGGGGAAUAUUGCACAAUGGGGGAAACCCUGAUGCCAGCAACGCCGCGUGAGUGAUGACGGCCUUCGGGUUGUAAAGCUCUGUCUUCAGGGACGAUAAUGACGGUACCUGAGGAGGAAGCCACGGCUAACUACGUGCCAGCCGCGGC